UGUGCUGAGUUUUUCAAAGCUCAGAGCAGGUUGAACAUUUGUGGUUUCAUUUUCCCUGAUUUUGAUUUUUCUCAUGUGGAACCUGUGUUGCUGCAUUCAAGGCCUCUAAUACCACCAUUUUGGGAGACCAAGGCAAGAGGAUCACAAGGUGAGCAGAUCAAGACCUACCUGGCCAACAGAAUGAAAACCUGUCUCUACUAAACAAAAAAACUUAGCCAGGUUCUGUGCAGUACUGAAGAGCAACUUCAGCUCUUGAGUUACAGCUCAAUGCAACCUCCUGGCAGGCCAGCCUUAAGCCCAGCAGUCCAACCAUGCAUCUAAGCUGAGUUCUCAUCAGAGCCAACUUCAAUUAUAAACAACUGAGAUGAUGCCAGAGGCCAGAAUCCCUGAGAACCCAAUUUGCUGUCAUCACGAUGGCUGAAACAAGGUGUUUGGCAUCUAGAAAAGCUGAUCUGUAGGAAAUUUCCAAUAGAGUUCAAUUUUUCUAAGUUUAAAGUGUACAAUAUCAUCAAGGUCAGACACUCGAGAUAAAACUGGGCUUGCAUUUAAAUAUAAUAAAAAUAUUUGAAGAAUAGUAAGAGUGGUGACUAC